rnacentral:rRNA from 1 species
GAUGAACGCUGGCGGCGUGCCUAAUACAUGCAAGUCGAGCGAACGGACGAGAAGCUUGCUUCUCUGAUGUUAGCGGCGGACGGGUAAGUAACACGUGGAUAACCUACCUAUAAGACUGGGAUAACUUCGGGAAACCGGAGCUAAUACCGGAUAAUAUUUUGAACCUCAUGGUUCAAAAGUGAAAGACGGUCUUGCGGUCACUUAUAGAUGGAUCCGCGCUGCAUUAGCUAGUUGGUAAGGUAACGGCUUACCAAGGCAACGAUGCAUAGCCGACCUGAGAGGGUGAUCGGCCACACUGGAACUGAGACACGGUCCAGACUCCUACGGGAGGCAGCAGUAGGGAAUCUUCCGCAAUGGGCGAAAGCCUGACGGAGCAACGCCGCGUGAGUGAUGAAGGUCUUCGGAUCGUAAAACUCUGUUAUUAGGGAAGAACAUAUGUGUAAGUAACUGUGCACAUCUUGACGGUACCUAAUCAGAAAGCCACGGCUAACUACGUG